rnacentral:tRNA from 1 species
GGAGAUAUAACUUAAAGGUAGAGUAGUUCGCUUCUAAUGAAUUUGUAUUGGUUCGAUUCCAUUUAUCUUAU